CUGGAGCAGUUUCCGCAGUCGAUGAUGGCGUUGUAGGCGGCGUUCACCGAACCGAAGUAGUACUGGCCAGCCAGCCUCGAAUCUGAGAGGGACUUCAAAGAGCAGAGCCUCGCCCUGGCUGAACAGAGAAGCCUCAGCUUCCCACCUGCUGCUGUGCGCCUGGGAGGACACUCACCAUCCUGUUGUGGGGGCUUGAAGACAUAGCCAUGGUUAUCCAGGCUGCGGCGGUAGAAGCUGGCAUUGAAGGGCUCAGGGGUCUCUGUCCAGUCCUCAGCUGCCCUGGUCACACAAGAGAAGUUUGCUGAUCCCAGUUCUAGGCCCAAGAUCACCUCCUCUGGAAGCCUUCCCUGACCGCCUGAACUCGGAGAACUCCACAGAGGUGUGGGAAUCCCCAUCAGCCUCUGCUGAGCCUGGCUUGUGUCCACAGGAGAGGCGGAACAGGGAGAUGGGCAGAUUCCAGCUUUAAUUUUAGCAACUUCUCUGGGAGCCACGGAGGCUCAGCCAAGGGGGAAGCACACCUGCUUUAGCCCACCCACCCCGCCUUCUCUGCGGCCCUGCCUGCCUGCCCUCCUGACGGCUCACCAAGGCCAGCCUGGCACCACAGACCCGCUGCAGGAAUCCCUUCCUGCCUGCCCACCUCUUGGUGCCACUGGAUACCUCCUGCUCGCCCCAGGCAACCCCCCAGGCCAACAGGCCCAGGAGUGGGAGCCUAGCUGUUGGGUCUUCUGCACCAGUCAGCACAGGUGGGGCCCCAGAGACUGAGUUGUGACACCUCUGUUUACAGAGGAAAUAACCAGGUUCAACUACUUUUGCCUCAAAAGCAGGCAGAUGAAUUUGGGCCUUGACAGGUUCACCAAAACAGUCUGUUCCAUGUGCCCUGCGCCCUCAGACACUCUUGUCUCCUCUGUAGACCCCCUCACACCCCAAAUGGUCACACUUUCACGUGAGUCCUCUGGUGACAGGGACCUCUCUCUGUCACAGGGCCACCCAAGCAGACGUGAACCAGUCAGUGAGGCAGAAGAGCAGUGUAGCUCUGGGUUCUCCAGUCAGUCCCAGCGCCACCACUUCCGGGGUGGUGACCCCUGAUGAGUCAGAACCCUCUCCUUCAUCUGAAGAACAGGCACAGGGACUGGGCUGCCUCUACAGCUGGGGUGAGACUGACUUAGCCCAGGGCCAACACUGAUCAUGGGGCCAGGCUGUGGGGUGGUCAGCACGCGGAAGCCACUUUCCCCGCACCACAGGGAAGGGUACCUGCACUCACCUGAAAUACACCUGCAUCCCGGCCCCGCCUGCCUACCUCCAGGAAGCCCUCGCCACCUGCUCCCUCUCUCCCCUACUCUCGCAGCACUCAGCAUCCCUCUGUCCUCCCGAUGCUGGUACUUGAACUGACCUAGGGGAGGAGGUCCAAGAGCCUCACCACCCUGCCCAGGGAUGGGGCUGGGCCCGCCCCACACUGUACAGUGAAGCUGUGCCCCUUGGUGCCACAGAGACACGGCCCUGGAGGGGUCAGGGCCUCUAGGGAAUUGUGGGAGGUGUAGGGCGGGGACCUGUGCAGCCACAACUCUGCAAGGCCAAGCUCAGAAUGCUGAAGAGUGCUGAAUCCUAACACUCAUUUUACAGCUGAGGCCAUGAGGUCCCAGAGAGGGGGGUGUGGCUCUGGCAGCUCCCCAUCCCUGCCAGCAUGGGUGGGGGCACUUACCAGCUCAGCGUCGGCCUUGGCGUCAUAGUACACUAUGUCUUCCUCCUGGUGGGGAAGAGAUGCCUCAUCACUCAUGGUCGCCUGAGGUGCGGCCAGGACCCCCAGCUCUAAGGCCUGGAAUGGCCCCCUCAGAUUCCUCUGGGGCAGAGACCGCCCCCUUACCCAUCCAGAGCUGCCAUCCAGGGAGGGCUGGAUGAGGCAGGCUGGAUGCCCCACCCACACCCCAGCCAGACCGUCCUCAGGAGCUCUCACAGGCACCAGGAGGAUGUGGUACGCCGGGUCGGUACCCCUGGGGCUCCCUGACUCUAGGAUCAGGGUCUCUGCACUGCAGCCCUGCUGGGAGGUAGGGUUAGAGCCAGCCUAUCUGCAGAGACUCUGGCUGAGGCAGUACCAAGGGAGAAUUGAGGAAGAUGGAAAAAUAGAGCCGAGUCUGGGAAAGAGUGAAAUAAUGACUCGACACCACAUCUUCCAAUUUCUUCUAU